GACGAACCGUGCGAACGUUGUUCGGAAUCACUGGGCUUAAAGGGCGCGUAGGCGGGUCGGCAAGUCCGGGGUGAAAGCCCCCAGCUCAACUGGGGAAGGGCCUUGGAAACUGCCGGUCUUGAGGGAGGUAGGGGCCUGUGGAACUUCGGGUGGAGCGGUGAAAUGCGUUGAUAUCCGAAGGAACGCCGAUGGCGAAAGCGACGGGCUGGAUCUCUUCUGACGCUGAGGCGCGAAAGCUAGGGUAGCGAACGGG
rnacentral:rRNA from 1 species